AAGCAACACUCUGUGGCAGACGAUCAAAACUGUCUGGCACAAUUUGAGCUUGCUACAGCAACAGAGUCUAACCUAUUCCGGCUCUCUCCUCCAUGAGACAAGCCGUUAUACAGACUUAGACAGU